rnacentral:lncRNA from 1 species
GUCUGGUUUGAUAACCUACAGAUAAAGUUAAAAUUAAAGGGUACUAAAAUAAAUAUUUGAUAAAUUUAGUUGUGUAUCUAAAAUUUUUUGUAUAUAAUUUAAUGAAAUAUUAACGAAAAAAAUACCGGAAAGAUAAAAACGAAACCACAGAUGGGUAAAUUGAUACAUUUUAAACCACAUAGGGGCAAAGUGAAAAACUACGAAACCACAGGAGAGUUUUU